GUCUAAGCCCCAGCUCCUGGCGGAGCGAGCUAGCCUGCGAAUUUCAGCAUGAGUGUACUGCUGAGGUCAGGUUUGGGGCCGUUGUGUGCCGUGGCGCGCGCAGCCAUUCCUUUUAUUUGGAGAGGGAAAUACUUCAGCUCCGGGAAUGAGCCUGCAGAAAACCCGGUGACGCCGAUGCUGCGGCAUCUUAUGUACAAAAUAAAGUCUACUGGUCCCAUCACUGUGGCCGAGUACAUGAAGGAGGUGUUGACUAAUCCAGCCAAGGGUUAUUAUGUGUACCGUGACAUGCUAGGCGAAAAAGGAGAUUUCAUUACUUCACCUGAAAUAAGUCAAAUCUUUGGGGAGCUACUAGGUAUAUGGUUCAUUAGUGAAUGGAUGGCCACUGGAAAAAGCACAGCUUUCCAGCUGGUGGAACUGGGCCCAGGUAGGGGAACCCUCGUGGGAGAUAUUUUGAGGGUGUUCACUCAACUUGGAUCUGUGCUGAAAAAUUGUGACAUUUCAGUACAUCUGGUAGAGGUAAGCCAAAAAUUAAGUGAGAUUCAAGCAUUGACACUGACUAAAGAGAAGGUCCCGUUAGAGCGAAAUGCUGGAUCCCCAGUGUAUAUGAAAGGUGUCACUAAGUCUGGGAUUCCAAUUUCCUGGUACCGAGAUCUGCACGAUGUUCCAAAAGGGUACAGCUUUUAUCUUGCACAUGAAUUUUUUGAUGUUCUUCCUGUGCAUAAAUUUCAGAAAACACCACAGGGAUGGCGAGAAGUAUUUGUUGACAUUGAUCCACAGGUUUCUGAUAAACUGAGGUUUGUUUUGGCACCUUCUGCCACCCCAGCAGAAGCCUUCAUACAACAUGACGAAACAAGGGAUCAUGUUGAAGUGUGUCCUGAUGCUGGUGUUAUCAUCGAGGAACUUUCUCAACGCAUUGCAUUAACUGGAGGUGCUGCACUGGUUGCUGAUUAUGGUCAUGAUGGAACAAAGACAGAUACCUUCAGAGGGUUUUGCGACCACAAGCUUCAUGAUGUCUUAAUUGCCCCAGGAACAGCAGAUCUAACAGCUGAUGUGGACUUCAGUUAUUUGCGAAGAAUGGCACAGGGAAAAGUAGCCUCUCUGGGCCCAAUAAAACAACACACAUUUUUAAAAAAUAUGGGUAUUGAUGUCCGGCUGAAGGUUCUUUUAGAUAAAUCAAAUGAGCCAUCAGUGAGGCAGCAGUUACUUCAAGGAUAUGAUAUGUUAAUGAAUCCAAAGAAGAUGGGAGAGAGAUUUAACUUUUUUGCCUUGCUACCUCAUCAGAGACUUCAAGGUGGAAGAUAUCAGAGGAAUGCACGUCAGUCAAAACCCUUUGCAUCCGUUGUAGCUGGGUUUAGUGAACUUGCUUGGCAGUGAUAUUUCAGCUUGGACAUUUUACCCUUCAGUCGGCCCAAGAAAUCAAAAUAAAGGAAACACAUUUCAUAUACUGCAGUGUCUUUGAAGAGUACGAAUACUGAGCCUGAAGAAAUACAAACUCUUUUUUUGUUGUUAAAUGCCAGAUUUCAGCUAACAUCUUGAUAAGGUAAAGAUGACUUGGAAGUUUGGCAACUGAUUAAAGAAGUGGAGCCAUGGCUAACACUUGAGCAUAAAAAGCGUAUCAAGUAAAUCACAUUAUUUUCCCUUUGCUUCUCAUUGGAACACUGUGGAUCACUAAAAUAGAGGUCAGAAAGUGGGAGUUUUAAUGUUACCAGUAGGAGUGUGCAUCUUUUGUCUACUAUUUUGAAGAUCAAAUGAGAUAAUAUAUGGAAGCAGUUUAUUUAAAACAUUGCACCAACUAUCAGGCAACCCUUUCGACCUCAAAAUGAUAGGGAAUCACUUUUAACCACAUAAACAUAAAAAGAAUAUGAUUACUACUUUAAAAGCUGAACGAUUUUUAAUAUAUCUUUUUAUUUGAAAAGACAAUUUGAGUUAUAUUUACCAAGUGAAAACACCUAUCUGUUGUCCUUAGUCUUGCCAUUUGUCUAAAUGUACAUGUUUCAAAUGUAUAUAAACAAUAGUUUGGCAACAGAUAUUUGAGCUGAUCGGAGGAAUCAUCCUUGCCAAUUAUGGAAAAUGGCUGCAGGGUACCACCACCACCACUUAUUUCUCAGGAUGGUUGUUUCAGAAUUUGGGUUAUGAUCCAUUUCAUAGGUCAUGCAAUAAAUUUAGUGGAUCAAGAUGAACACUUGGAAAAAAAAAAAACUCAACUGAAUUAAGAAAAAUCAGAGAGUGCUACAUGUAGCCAGGACACAGAAGCACGAUGCCAUUGUGUGUAUGUGUGGUGAUGAGAAAUGUUAUUUUAUGUAGGUUGUUUGAAUACAAUACUCUACAUAGAAAAAGGAGGUGGCUGCCUGCCUCAACCAAAAUCUAUCUCCCAUUUCCAGUAACACCCCAUUUGUUUUAUUUAUGAGGUAUUUAUCCUAAGUACCAUGCACCAACCAAGGUUGAUACUUGCUCACUUCGUUCCCAGCCCCUGGGGAGAGGUGAAUUGCAGAAUCUAUGUGCAGUUAAAUCUUAAAAAAUCUUGAAUAUAAACAGUAUAACUAAUAACAUCUGAAUUCAUUUAGUUAUUAAUCCUCACUGGUAGUUACAGGCUAAAAACUAUUUUUGUAAGGUGGUAUGCAUUUUUAACCAACAGUACUUAGUACACUGCCUUUUAUUAUGUGGGUGCUUUGAAAAUGUUGCCAGAAUCAUUUAAAAGGUUCUGGAGAAUAUCUCACCUGAGGAAAUGGCUCUGCUGAUGCAAGCAGCACAUUUUCUGGCUUUAAAUCACAGUGCACAAUAUUCUUAAAAUGCAGAUUCCUCAAAGCAACAAGUAUCUGUUAUGAAAAAAGAUUUUCUUUUCAAUGUCUGGAAAAUCACAAGUAAACCUCAUGUGACUCCUUGAAUGAUUUAAUUUGAAAACUCCACUAUAGUUCAUCAAGACUUAGCUAAAAGUGUGUUAUUCUGCUCCUUAAGGUUAACAAUUCCCACAAUCACCCAACAUGUAAAAGUACUGCUAUUUAAUUAUUUUAGUUUUUAGCUGGAUACAGUGGCUCAUGCCUGUAAUCCCAGCACUUUGGGAGACCUAGGCAGGUGGAUCACUUGAGGCAAGGAGUUCGAGACCAGCCUGGCCAACACGGUGAAACCCCAGCUCUACUAAAAAUACAAAAAUUAGCCAGGCGUGGUGGCACACAUCUGCAAUCCUAGAUACUUGGGAGGCUGAGGCAUGAGAAUCACUUGAAUCCAGGAGGCAGAGGUUGCAGUGAGCCAGAUUGCACCACUGCACUCCAGCCCAGGUGACAGAGUAAGACUCUUGUCUUAAAAAAAAAAAAAUUAGUUUUUAAUCGCUAGUUUAAAAAAAAAAAGGAGUUAAAAUACCUGUGUGACCAUGAAUUUAGUAAUUCGUUCUGGAAGCCGACUUUUCUCACUGGAUAGAAUCAUUUCCAACAUAUCUCCAUGCAGCUUUUCCAUUACUACAAAGACUCGUUCUGGGGUUUCAAACAUACAUUCCAGGUUUACAAUCCCAGGAUGGUGCAAAUUCUGAAGAGAGGUUGCAAGAUACAUGAGCAACUUAAGCAGAGAAACAGUUUUACUAAUAUCUAGAUGUGCUAUGAUUGUCUGAAAUGGCACAGAAAGAAAGCCUAGAGAAGUAAACAAAGCAAACAAAAUAAAAAUUACAAUCAAUGAAAAGGAUCUUAGGUUUUAAUUCUCCAAGUUGUGUACUGGAGAGUAGCCGCACUGAGGGGAUAGAAUGUUCUCCUAAUUUGAUUAUAUAAUCACUCUUGUCCAUUACUACUACUUUUCCUUCCUUCUCACUUGAAAAAUCUGACACUGCUCUAAUUUCAUGCUUUCCCUGAAUAGGCACCAACUGCCCAUAAAUUUUUAGUCAAUUACACAGAAACCUUUGACUCUUGGGGGCUGUAUUUGUGAUGGUAUUUGCUUAAGAGUUUUAUUUCUAAGGUAGUUAUUUAUCUAAGUCUUGAUUCUUAUAAUAUUAUAAUCAUUAAUUCCCUUUUUUUAGGCUCAACAUCUCUACCCACAUUAUCAUGUUUCUUGAUCACAACUAGGUUACAAGGGUUGGAGAUACACAAAGAUGAAUGCCAUACUAUUUAUGCUUAUAAAAAAGCAAUUUAUCUUUUGUUCUACUACAGAAAAUCCUUCCUCAAAAACAAAUUCAUGAAGUCAGCCUUGCUCAAACACCUUCAGUGGCUCUUUAUUUCUGGACAUAAAUCUAAAUUCCUUUGUCAACAUUUUGAGAUCUUCAAUAACCUGGUUUCAGUCUUCCAAUUUAAUCUUAAAUAUGUUCUACUGAAUGAACCAAGUGCUUAAACAAUUUUUAUUCCUUAUUAAUAAAGAUACAGGCUGGGUGUGGUGGCUCACGCCUGUAAUCCCAGCACUUUGGGAAGCCGAGGCAGGUGGAUCAUUUGAGGUCAGGAGUUCGAGACCAGCGUAGCAAACACGGUGAAAUCCUGUCUCUACCAAAAAUACAAAAACUAACCAGGUGUGGUGACAGGUAUCUGUAAACCCAGCUACUCGGGAGGCUGAGGCAGGAGAAUCACUUGAACCUGGGAGGUGGAGGCUGCAGUGAGCCGAGAUCAUGCCAUUGCACUCCAGCCUGGGAGACAGAGCGAGACUUUGUCUCAAAUAAAAAAAAGGCCGGGCGCGGUGGCUCACGCCUGUAAUCCCAACAUUUUGCGAGGCCAAGGCAGGCGGAUCACCUGAGAUCGGGAGUUCGAGACCAGCCUGACCAACAUGGAGAAACCUAGUCUCUACUAAAAAUACAAAAUUAGCCGGGUGUGGUGGCGCAAGCCUGUAAUCCCAGCUACUCGGGAGGCUGAGGCAGGAGAAUUGCUUGAACCUGGGAGGCAGAGGUUGCGGUGAGCUGAGAUUGCGCCAUUGCACUCUAGCCUGGGCAACAAGAGCAAAACUCUAUCUCAAAAACAAAAAAACCCAGACGGUCCCCAACUUAACAAUGGUUCAACUUACAAUUUUUCAACUGUAGAAUGGUACAAAAGUGGUAUGCAUUCAUUCAGUAAAAAACGUAUUUUGAAUACCUGCACAACCAUUCCGUUUUUUUGAGUAUUCAUAAAUUACAUAAGAUAUUCAACACAUUAGUGUAAAAUGGUCUUUGUGUUAGAUGAUUUUGCCCAACUGUAGGCUAAUGUAAGCGACUGUGCUUAAGGUAGGCUACACGGGGCUAAGUUGUGUUCAGGAGGUAUUUUUAUCUACUUAGUUAUUUUCAAACUUAAGAUGGGUUUAUGGAGAUAUGACCCCGUCGCAAAAUGAGGAGCAUCCUGUACAUUUUUCUUUAGCUUUUUUCCUUAAUAUGGCUAGCUGAUUAUGCUAGGGGGACUCACAUGUUUUUGGCCUAUGUGAGGCUGAGUUCCAUGUCUAAGAUGUUUCUUGAAGCCUUAAUUUUAGCCCACAUUCUCUCUCUUUGGGACUACUGCAAUAGUUUCCACUGUAUUGUAAUAAUGUGUGUAUUCUACUCCAUUGUUUAAUAAACUCUCUGAGGCACA